UGGGGAAUCUUGGACAAUGGGCGCAAGCCUGAUCCAGCCAUGCCGCGUGAGCGAUGAAGGCCUUAGGGUUGUAAAGCUCUUUCACCGGUGAAGAUAAUGACGGUAGCCGGAGAAGAAGCCCCGGCUAACUCCGUGCCAGCAGCCGCGGUAAUACGGAGGGGGCUAGCGUUGUUCGGAAUUACUGGGCGUAAAGCGCGCGUAGGCGGGCUGUUAAGUCGGGGGUGAAAUCCCGGGGCUCAACCCCGGAACUGCCCUCGAUACUGGCAGCCUAGAGGUCGAGAGAGGUGAGUGGAAUUCCGAGUGUAGAGGUGAAAUUCGUAGAUAUUCGGAGGAACACCAGUGGCGAAGGCGGCUCACUGGCUCGAUACUGACGCUGAGGUGCGAAAGCGUGGGGAGCAAACAGGAUUAGAUACCCCCGUAGUCC
rnacentral:rRNA from 1 species